CAAUAGCGUAUAUUAAAGUUGUUGCAGUUAAAAAGCUCGUAGUUGGAUUUUUGCUUGCCGCCGAUGUCGGAACUUCCGUACGUUCGGCGGCGUGCAUCCUUGGGUGGAACCUGUGUGGCAUUAGGUUGUCGUGCAGGGGAUGCUCAUCGUUUACUGUGAAAAAAUUAGAGUGUUCAAAGCAGGCUUACGCCGUUGAAUAUAUUAGCAUGGAAUAAUAAGAUAGGACCUUGGUACUAUUUUGUUGGUUUGCGCACCGAGGUAAUGAUUAACAGGGACAGUUGGGGGUAUUCGUAUUCCAUUGUCAGAGGUGAAAUUCUUGGAUUUCUGGAAGACGAACUACUGCGAAAGCAUUUACCAAGGAUGUUUUCAUUA
rnacentral:rRNA from 1 species